UUGUACACACCGCCCGUCACACCAUGGGAGUGGGUUGCAAAAGAAGUAGGUAGCUUAACCUUCGGGAGGGCGCUUACCACUUUGUGAUUCAUGACUGGGGUGAAGUCGUAACAAGGUAACCGUAGGGGAACCUGCGGUUGGAUCACCUCCUUA
rnacentral:rRNA from 2 species